UACAGAGGUCCCAAGCGUUGUUCGGAUUCACUGGGCGUAAAGGGUGCGUAGGCGGUUGGGUAAGUCUGAUGUGAAAUCUCACAGCUUAACUGUGAAACUGCAUUGGAUACUAUCCGGCUAGAGGAAUGGAGGGGAGACUGGAAUACUUGGUGUAGCAGUGAAAUGCGUAGAUAUCAAGUGGAACACCAGUGGCGAAGGCGAGUCUCUGGACAUUUUCCUGACGCUGAGGCACGAAAGCCAGGGGAGCAAACGGGG
rnacentral:rRNA from 1 species